rnacentral:misc_RNA from 1 species
GGAAACGGUAAAAACAACGGAGGUAGUGGCGGCGGCGAUUGGUGGAACAAUUUCUUCAAUUUUGAUAAGAUUCUCCUCCUUCCUAUUUUUAGAGAUGAAGAUACUUUUAUCGAUUCCGUAUUAUCGUGUAAACCAUUGUUAUUGUUCCUUGUAUCAGCUUCUUCUUCAAUUACUUGCUGCUUACUGUUAGCUUCAUUUGUACAAGCAAAAACUAAUAAUGGAGAAAUUGUGUAUGAAAUUAGAGGAGGAAAACGGUUUGAACUUGUGCCAGAUUAUUCAAAGGAUGAAUUUGUUCUUACUAAGACAAUGUGGUCACAGUUAUGGCCUGAUUCGACAUCGGGGAGUUUUGUUUCCAAUUUGUGGAUGCAAUGCAAGGAAUUAACAACGACUUUGUUUC